UCAUCAAACUCAUCAUCAGUCAAAUCAUCAUCCUCAGGCAAGGCAAACUUGACAGCCUUUGGGUUCUGGUCUUUGCCACCCAUGGGGGGAAGUUUCAGGUCCUUAAAUUGUGGGGGCAACUUCAGAUCUUGGAACCCUUUCAACUGUUGAAGUUGCUGCUGCUGGUUUGGCAUUUGAGGUCCACCUUUUGGCUGAUUGUUUCCACCACCUUUCUGACCUUGGCCUUGGGCUUGCCCCUUGUUAUUGCCACCUUUACCACUGUCAAUUUGCAUGUUCUUGAACUGAUUAUUGAGCUGAUUUUGUUGGUUGUUGUUACUGGCUUUGGGAGCACCCCAUAACUCUGCAUGUUUCCCACUCUUGGCUAAUUUCUUGAUCAGUGUAGCAGGGUCUACAUUUCCAGCAACAGUCACUUUUCCUUGUUCUGAAUCUAUGCUUGUCUUAUAAACCCCUGGAUAAUAACCACAACCAAAAUAUAAAAGGAUUCAGACUAAAGGAGUAUAAAACAAGCCAUAUUUUGGGAUAUUCAGAUAAUAAAAAAAGAGUCUUGGAAUGGGAAAUGGAAAAAUACCUUCAAUCUUUUGCAAGAUUUUCUUUACUUUAUGCUUACACCCAUCACAGUGUAUAUUGACUUUAAGGACACAAGUCUGCAUGCACAAGCAAAGCCAGCCAACAGAAAACAGAGUAAAGUAAUUAACUUUCUCAGUACCAUUCAACAUUCAAAUACAAAGCACAAGAGAAAGAACACAAAGAAAUUACACACAUACAAAAAAAAGAACAAAAAUCCAGAAAAAGGUUUGAUCUUUCAUUCAGACAGAUACUAAUUAAUUUACCAUUGGUAAAGAACAAAAAAAAAAUUAAAAAAUGGGAACAGAGGAUCUUGAGCUGGAAACUCAAACAAAAAGAGAAAACACACACACAUUGUAGAUAUACAUUUGAAUUAGCCAACUGAGAGAAAAAAAUUAAGUACCUGGAUCUUCAAGAACUCUUCUUUACUCAUAUCUCCAAGCUAAUGAAAAACCAAAGAAAAGGGGUAAUCUUGAAAUGAGAAAAGGGUAAUUUCUGUAACUAAUAGAUCUAAGAGAAAGCAAAGACAAUUAAAAAUUAACAAGGAAAUGGUGAAUUAGCACAACUAUAACUUCAACACCCUCUUCUCCAUUUUUUUUUGCUUUUUUCCCUCAAAUGGGGUUCUGCCAAACAGAAACACAGAGUGAAAUGUAUGGAGAAAAACAAAAAAUGAACUUCAGCAAAGUGAAAUUCUUGAUUGAAAAAAACAAAAAAGUGAGUAGUUUAGAAGAAGGAAAACGGAAGAGAAAGUAAGGUUUCAGUUUCAGGGGCGGUGGGUAGAGACAUUAUAACUUCUCUGCUUCCUCUAUUUCAGAGUUAAAGAGAGAGAAAGAGAGCUAGCACUAAAGAAAGAGCAGAGUGGCACAAAGAGUGAGAGAGAGCAAAAGAAGGAGAGAGGAGGAUGGCCUAUAAAAGUUCUCACUCACACUUCUUUGUUUUGGC
rnacentral:lncRNA from 1 species